CAGUAGCCGCGGGAAUACGUAGGGUGCGAGCGUUAAUCGGAAUUACUGGGCGUAAAGCGUGCGCAGGCGGUUUUGUAAGACAGAGGUGAAAUCCCCGGGCUCAACCUGGGAACUGCCUUUGUGACUGCAAGGCUAGAGUACGGCAGAGGGGGAUGGAAUUCCGCGUGUAGCAGUGAAAUGCGUAGAUAUGCGGAGGAACACCGAUGGCGAAGGCAAUCCCCUGGGCCUGUACUGACGCUCAUGCACGAAAGCGUGGGGAGCAAACAGGAUUAGAUACCCGCGUAGUCCCUGUCUCUUAUAC
rnacentral:rRNA from 1 species